CCCUUGAGAUCUUCAAUAUCCAUAUAUUUUAAGAGAUUUAAAACAGAUCAUUGUUUUCAAUUUUACAUUUUGAAGAGGAUGAUCUGCCUGGGAAUGCCAUUCGUGCAGUGACGUGGCUGGACUGUGAACCUCAUAACACACAGUUUGCUCCACAUUUCACUGGCAGCUCUGAUGCAAUACAGAGGUUAGAGGGCAAGACACACAUUGUAUGCAAACAGGAAAAUAAUUUCUUCUGGGAUCUGUUAAUAUACGGACAAAGGAGAGAAGCAUGUCAUCUGCUGUACAAGCCAAGGCAAACCCAGCUUUGUGCCAUGCAUCAGAGGGUUGAAUCAGAAAGAAAAGGAUUAAAGUUGCUCAAGCAGAGGGAAACCACAGUUUGGGAAGGCAGAAGAAAAAGGACUCGCUGCAUACCAUGGUCAUGCCUACAACAGAUUUCAGAUGUUGCUGGGGCAUACACUUGAGUCUAAGUCCUGGGGAGAGAGAAUUCUGGUGUGGGAAGGGAAGGCAAAUCAGGAAGAGUA